CCUCCUAAAUAAUAAGAACCAAAUUGGGAGAUGCCAUUUUUCAAUUGGGAUAAUUUUGCCCUUUGAUUUCGUCCAUUUUACCAAUUGCCCAAGGAGCAAUUUUCCGAAUGGCCAUUAUUGUAAUUUCGCUCUCGGCCACGUGGCGCCCUUCAAAUUGAACAGAGAAAAUACCCCUGCCACUCUCACCUACUGCUUAUAAUCUGCAUUUUAGAGAGAGAGAGAGAGAGUGAGUGAGGACGGCGAAGGCGGCCACAAAUGCAACGAUGACGAUAACCACAACGGCGAUGAGGACAGCGAUGAAGAAGGCAAGGGAUCUGGUUUAGGGCUUCUUCAGUGUGUUUCUUUUGUUAGAUGAGAGUAAGACAACUGAAACAGAUAGAAGCAUUCUAGACAUAGCGAGAAAGGAAGAGAUGCGAGACCUGAGGCAAGUUUGACGUGGAUUGGGCUUAAAUGCAUUCAUGGUUACACCUAAGGUAUUAAACAAUGCCGCAUAAUAUUGACCACCAAGCAAACCAUUGGUUUCAAUUCUCUUUGUGUCCAUUUACGUGUUUGUGACAA